AGGAAUCAGGGAAGAUUAAAAGCUGAGCAGAAUGUAAUAUCUCUGAAUUACCUUCUGACCUUUUUGAGGCUGCAACCAGAGAUAAAUAAAAUUCAAGAUACCUCAGGCUCUCAGCAAGUCACAAGAAAACAAGAAAACAUGAUGCUGUCUGAGCAAUUGGUACAGGAAGCCUGGACACAUUGCUGAGGAAAUCAGAACUUCUUUGCAAAAGAUGGUGACAAUCUGUGGCCAAGAUGCUGCCGGGAGAUGAUUACAGGCACAGGAGAGGAGUUUCAGGCAGGAAUCAAGACUCCGAGAGUUUGUGCAACUCCUGGAGCAUUUUGAAAAUUUGAACUUGAGGCCCGGCGCGGUGGCUCACGCCUGUAAUCCCGG
rnacentral:lncRNA from 10 species